CCAGACACACACAGCAUCCAGACACACACAGCAUCCAGACACACACAGCGCACCCAGACACACACGGCGCCCCCAGACACACACAGCGCCCCCAGACACACAGCGCACCCAGACACACACAGGAUCCAAACACACACAGCGCACCCAGACACACACAGAGCACCCAGACACACACAGCGCACCCAGACACACACAGCACCCAGACACACACAGCGCACCCAGACAC